CAGUGUGGGGAAUCACGUGACCCAAAAUGGUACGGAACACGGAAAUCAACAUGGCGGAUUUCUGACUUUUUUACCAAUUUUCAAAGAAAUCGCCAAACCUAAGAAGAAACCGGGUCUGACACUUGGGAAAAAAAGUGGAUAAAGAAGCAAAACAAGAAUAUCAAUAUCAAAGUAACUUUCCAAUUGCCGCAAUCCGUCAAGAAAUCACAAGCGAAAAGGCUGCUUACGCCAUCUAAAUCCCCUAUGUACAACAUAUCUCCAGCAAAUUAAAAAUAAAGUGAAUUUGGUCACCUGACGUUUCCAAAAAAGACAAAAAAAAAAACAACAGUUUACAAUAAUUCCCGAUGAAAGUCUUCAAGAUCACUUUCUGGACAUGUAGAGGAAAACAGUGAUACCAGAGACGAUGUAGAACGCUUCUUAAACACUGAAUUACUGUAUGAAGAAAUGUGAAGAAAUCACAUGUUCGAUACUGCAAGCAGAAAGAGACUUCCUGUGAGACGAAAACAGGGUACUGUUAGUACAUCAAGGAACGCAGUUCAGAAAGAAGCUCUGUGUAUAAGGUGGGAGAAGGCUAGGACGAAUGAAUCUAAAAUGCUACCGAUGAAGAGGAUGGGACUGGACUGAGAAGUGCAUAUGAACGAGAAAAGAAAUAGUUACGAUAUCAGUACCGAAAAUAAAAGGAGGAUGAUAUAAAUACAAUUGGAGAAAAGAAAAAAUAUUUGAGUACUUAAUGUGAAAAGGAAUGUGAAAUAAAUCUACACUUAAUGAGACGAGGAAUUUAAUACAAUUGCGGGAAGUGAAAUAGAUACUGACUGAAGAAAGAACCGAUGUUUUUAAUAGUAAACAUUAGGGAAAAAUUGAUAUAUUCAGUAAACGAUGUGAAAACUGUGAGUACAAUCAUGGGGCUAAAUUUUAUGCAAAAGGACAUUAUGUGAUAUAAAUUGGCAUACUCAAUGGGAAUAGAAAGACUCGAUGACAUUGAGAAAAAGAAAUUUCUAAUGACAGUGUUCUUCUUUGAUUUUGUUUUAAUUUAUUGUUGGAAGCUUGCUGUAUAAAUUCUGUAUAGAUAAUGAAAAUGAGCUUUGAUAGCUUUUUUGUCAAUUAAAAAAAAUGAUAUGUUUUUUUCUUUGCACAUGUUUUUGUGACAUAAUUGUGUUUAAUUAUGUUUUUAAUUGCAAUAAAGAAGUAACCGAA